rnacentral:rRNA from 1 species
UGGCUCAGAACGAACGCUGGCGGCGUGCUUAAUACAUGCAAGUUGUGCGAGAAAGUAUCCUUCGGGAUGCGAGUACAGCGGCGAACGGGUGAGUAACACGUAAGCAACCUGCCCCUAAAUCCGGGAUAACCCUGCCAACGCGGGGCUAAUACCGGAUGUGGUUGAAAGGUCGCAUGAUUUUUCAAUUAAAGGUGACCUCUUCUUGAAAGUUACUGUUUAGGGAUGGGCUUGCGGACCAUUAGCUUGUUGGUGAGGUAACGGCUCACCAAGGCUGCGAUGGUUAGCCGACCUGAGAGGGUGAUCGGCCACAUUGGGACUGAGAUACGGCCCAGACUCCUACGGGAGGCAGCAGUAGGGAAUUUUGCGCAAUGGACGAAAGUCUGACGCAGCAACGCCGCGUGAGGGAUGAAGGCCUUCGGGUUGUAAACCUCUGUUGAGUGAGAAGAAAAGCAUGCGGGAUAAUACUCCGCGUGUCUGACGGUAUCACUCGAGGAAGCCCCGGCUAACUACGUGCCAGCAGCCGCGGUAAUACGUAGGGGGCAAGCGUUGUUCGGAAUUACUGGGUGUAAAGGGAGCGUAGGUGGAAAGGUAAGUUAGGAGUGGAAGAUACGGGCUUAACCCGUAGUCCGCUUUUAAUACUGUCUUUCUUGAGUAUGGGAGAGGAUGACGGAAUUCCUGGUGUAGCGGUGGAAUGCGUAGAUCUCAGGAAGAACACCGGUUGCGAAGGCGGUCAUCUGGCCCAAUACUGACGCUGAGGCUCGAAAGCUGGGGGAGCGAACAGGAUUAGAUACCCUGGUAGUCCCAGCCGUAAACGAUGGACACUAGAUGCUGGAAGAGUCAAUCCUUUCAGUGUCGUAGCUAACGCGUUAAGUGUCCCGNCUGGGGGAGUACGCUCGCCAGGGUGAAACUCCAAGGAAUUGACGGGGGGCCCGCACAAGCGGUGGAGCAUGUGCUU